rnacentral:rRNA from 1 species
UACGUAGGGUGCAAGCGUUAAUCGGAAUUACUGGGCGUAAAGCGUGCGCAGGCGGUGAUGUAAGACUGAUGUGGAAAUCCCCCGGGCUUAACCUGGGAACUGCAUUGGUGACUGCAUUGCUGGAGUAUGGCAGAGGGGGGUGGAAUUCCACGUGUAGCAGUGAAAUGCGUAGAGAUGUGGAGGAACACCGAUGGCGAAGG